rnacentral:misc_RNA from 1 species
CAAUAUCUUUGAAUUCAGUAGACUGGUCAGAAAAGAAGGAGAAAUAUUAGUUCUGAUAUAGUGGCUAUAAUAAUAUAACUUAUGCUUUAAGUGUAAAAGGAAAAUACCACACCAGAGAUACAUUAGAAUACUAAAUACUACCAACAUGAAUAAAUCAAAGGAUGAUUCAUCAUAACCAAGUCAGAUAUAACACUACACAUCUAGGUGAGACAUACAUGUCCCAAACAAGGGGGGCAACAUGAGUAAAACAAAAAAUUCUUGUAAACAAAUGAGGGGGAAAAAUGGCGUGAUAAAGCUCAAGCUUGCACCCCUAUUGUCAUGACUUGUAGGUUCACUAGUCAAUGUACACAAAACUUGCUGGAAAGAAAGAAGGAAAUACAAUAAUUGAUGAAAAGUUUAGAAUUAAUGAAAUAAUGCUUAGGAUGCUAAAGUGAUACCCUUGUUGGUUUGUAAAUGAAUGUUGCUCUUAUCAUUCAUUGACCUCCUAUUUCUAAUGUUGUCCAGCAAAUAAGUUUGUCAUAGAUGCUGUAGCAUGCAAAUGCAUGUGCUGUCUAACAAUAGAGCAGCUGAAAGGUUUAUCCUGGUGCAUGUAAUUAUUAAGGGAAAAAAGAAUGAAACAGCCUUUACAAUAUGCAGGACACAUAGCAGCAGCUCAAUUGAGUUAUCUUGUCUCCAUUCACUUUUGUAGAUUAAUAAUAAAAUAUCAAACCUUUGAAAGUAGUGUAGUGUGCAAAUUUCUUAAAUUUGGUAUUAAUCUUGAAUUU